CAAGACGUAGCUAUAACACAAAAGCAUUCAGCUUACACCUGAAAGAUAUCUGCCCACCCCCAGAUCGUCUUGA
rnacentral:tRNA from 1 species